UACAGAGCUUCCAGACCUACUCCUGUGCCUGAGUUUCCCAGAGUAAUCAGCUUGAAAAAAUACCGAAGAAGUCUAUCUGGGGCUUCUGGCUUCCAGAACUAAGAGGAUCCAUCUCUGUGGCUUUCAACGGCACCGUCUGUGGUGAUCAGAGUGUGAAGUAGAAUAGCCGUGGAUGAAGAGAGAAGGUCAACGUACAUCUGGCAGACUUGAAUGGGCCUGUGCAUUAAUGGUACCAGUGCACCAGUGCGUUUCCUGGUGCUGGUGGUCAUGCUGUGGUGAUGUGUCUUUGAUGUAGGAAAGACACACUCAAGUAUGCAGGAGAGAUGAGACAUCAGAGUUACAGGCACUGAACACCAUUACCAUCUAUUCUGCCUGGCUUAAGGGAUGACCCAACAACGAUCUGGUCCAUGAGCCUCUGAGCUUCAUUGCCUGGGAAAGAUGGGCAGUCCCCCUUCAUCAGUCACUUAAAACUGUUACGGUGCAAGGGAAAUUAAAAAGAUGACUGAAGAGAAGGAAGUCUGAAUGAACCUUCAGUCCUACUUGUUCCAGCCAGGCUGGAAACUGCACUCACUGCACUGACCUCAGAGAACCAAGCAGA
rnacentral:lncRNA from 1 species